rnacentral:snoRNA from 1 species
CUCAAGGAUGAGCGUCCUGAUAGGGACAACUUAUGCAAAUUAAAUGAUGCGGUCAGGGAGAGGAUAUUUUAGUAGAUGCUCCUCGAUUUUUCUGAUU